rnacentral:rRNA from 1 species
CCUAAAUUUCCCAUGGCGAACUGCUCAAUAACACAUGAUCAACUUGCCCUAUAGAGAAAAAUAACCUCGGGAAACUGAGGAUAAUGUUUCAUAGUUGAAAAGGCUUGGAAAAGUUUUUCGACCAAAGGGAUAAAAAAAAAUGGUUUUUAUCCGCUAUAGGAUAGGAUCGUGCUCGAUUAUGGUCGUUGGUGAGGUAACGGCUCACCAAGCCGAUAAUUGAUAGUGUCCGUGAGAGCGGGAGCUCCGAGAUGGGUACUGAGACAGCGACCCAGUCCCUACGAGGCGCAGCAGGCGCGGUACCUCCGCAAUACACGAAAGUGUGUCGGGGUUACCGAAAGUGUUCAUUUAUGAACUGUGGUAGGUGAGUAAUGUCCCUUACUAGAAAGGAGAGGGCAAGGCUGGUGCCAGCCGCCGCGGUAAAACCAGCUCUUCAAGUGGUCGGGAUAAUUAUUGGGCUUAAAGUGUCCGUAGCCGGUUUAGUAAGUUCCUGGUAAAAUCAGGUAGCCUAACUAUCUGCAUGCUAGGAAUACUGCUAUACUAGAGGGCGGGAGAGGUCUGAGGUACUACAGGGGUAGGGGUGAAAUCUUAUAAUCCUUGUAGGACCACCAGUGGCGAAGGCGUCAGACUGGAACGUGCCUGACGGUGAGGGACGAAAGCCAGGGGAGCGAACCGGAUUAGAUACCCGGGUAGUCCUGGCCGUAAACGAUGCAUACUAGGUGAUGGCAUGGCCAUGAGCCGUGUCAGUGCCGUAGGGAAACCGUUAAGUGUGCCGCCUGGGAAGUACGGUCGCAAGGCUAAAACUUAAAGGAAUUGGCGGGGGAGCACCACAAGGGG